CGGUGACACACAGAUGACACGGAGCACUGAAGCCUGCGUGUGAAUCAGGUCUUGGAAGAGGCUGUGCUCUGUUUGCCGCACAGACACUUUCACUCUCUCUGAAGGGAGGUCCUCCUGCACGUAGCCACGCAGUCGGUGUUUUCCAGGUGGCUGCUGUGCACCGGAUGUGUGCCCGUGCUGCAAAACACGUGUCCUUGUUGUGCUUCCUCGAGAGAUGCAUCUGCUGAUGUCAGCUUCCAGCUGCUGGCAGCGUGUUACAUCC
ensembl:lncRNA